GAAAUGCGAUACGUAGUGUGAAUUGCAGAAUUCAGUGAAUCAUCGAAUCUUUGAACGCACAUUGCGCCUCCUGGUAUUCCGGGAGGCAUGCCUGUUCGAGCGUCAUCAAACAAACCUCAAGCACUUUUGCUUGGUAUUGGAGAUGGAGGAAGCCGCAAGGUUCGCCUCCACUCCGAAAUUCAACGGCAGAGAGCUCUCGGUGCGAUUGCGUAGUAAGUAACUAUUUCGCGGUCACCUGGAAGCCUUCUCGCCAUAGAACCCCCAUUUUUCUUAGUUUGACCUCGGAUCAGGUAAGGAUACCCGCUGAACUUAA
rnacentral:misc_RNA from 1 species